GCUCCAAUAGCGUAUAUUAAAGUUGUUGCAGUUAAAAAGCUCGUAGUUGGAUUUCUGGUGGUUGAGAACGGUCCACCGCGAGGUGAGCACUGUUUUUGGCCGUCAUCCUCUCGAGGACGUGUGGUGUCAUUAACUUGGUGCUGCAUGGGCUCGGGACCUUUACUUUGAAAAAAUUAGAGUGUUCAAGCAGGCCUACGCUU
rnacentral:rRNA from 1 species